rnacentral:rRNA from 1 species
UACGUAGGGUGCGAGCGUUUGUCCGGAAUUAUUGGGCGUAAAGAGCUCGUAGGCGGUUUGUCGCGUCUGCUGUGAAAACUCAGGGCUUAACCCUGAGCUUGCAGUGGGUACGGGCAGACUAGAGUGCGGUAGGGGAGACUGGAAUUCCUGGUGUAGCGGUGAAAUGCGCAGAUAUCAGGAGGAACACCGGUGGCGAAGGCGGGUCUCUGGGCCGAUAACUGACGCUGGAGGAGCG